GAACGCUGGCGGCGUGCCUAACACAUGCAAGUCGAACGAGCGAGAGAUGAAACCUAGUGAUUCUCAAGGCGAGUGGCGACGGGUGAGUACGCGUGGAACCUGCCUUACAGAGGGGAUAACAGUCUGAAAGACUGCUAAUACCGCAUAAGCACACAGUACCGCAUGGUACAGGGUGAAAAGAUUUUAUCACUGUAAGAUGGACCCGCGUCUGAUUAGCCAGUUGGCAGGGUAACGGCCUACCAAAGCGACGAUCAGUAGCCGACCUGAGAGGGUGAUCGGCCACAUUGGGACUGAGACACGGCCCAAACUCCUACGGGAGGCAGCAGUGGGGGAUAUUGGCACAAUGGAGGGAACUCUGAUGCAGACCGACGCCGCGUGAGUGAAGAAGUAUUUCGGUAUGUAAAGCUCUAUCAGCAGGGAAGAUAAUGACAGUACCUGACCAAGAAGCCCCGGCUAACUACGUGCCAGCCGCCGC
rnacentral:rRNA from 1 species